UUCCGGUUGAUCCUGCCAGAGGUCACUGCUAUUGGGAUUCGACUAAGCCAUGCGAGUCGUGAGGGUUCGGCCCUCGGCAGACGGCUCAGUAACACGUAGAUAAUUUGCCCUUAGGUGGAGGAUACCCUCGGGAAACUGAGAAUAAUACUCCAUAGAUCUAGACUGCUGGAAUGCUUUUAGAUUGAAAGAUUUAUCGCCUAAGGAUAAGUCUGCGGACUAUCAGGUUGUAGUCAGGGUAACUACCUGACUAGCCUACGACGG
rnacentral:rRNA from 1 species